rnacentral:misc_RNA from 1 species
GGUGGAGACCUGAAUCAGU